rnacentral:rRNA from 1 species
AUGAAGUCGGAAUUGCUAGUAAUGGCAGGUCAGCAUACUGCCGUGAAUACGUUCCCGGGCCCUUGUACACACCGCCCGUCACACCAUGAGAGUUGGAGAUACCCGAAGCCUAUGAGCUAACUUUUAGAGGCAGUAGUCGAAGGUAGAAUCAAUGAUUGGGGUGAAGUCGUAACAAGGUAUC